rnacentral:rRNA from 1 species
UACGGGGGGGGCAAGCGUUGUUCGGAAUUACUGGGCGUAAAGCGUGCGCAGGCGGUUUUGUAAGCCAGAUGUGAAAUCCCCGGGCUCAACCUGGGAAUGGCAUUUGGGACUGCAAGGCUUGAGUGCGGCAGAGGAGACUGGAAUUCCUGGUGUAGCAGUGAAAUGCGUAGAUAUCGGGAGGAACAUCAGUGGCGAAGGCGGCCCUCUGGUCCAGUACUGACACUCAAGUGCGAAAGCGUGGGGAGCAAACAGG